rnacentral:misc_RNA from 1 species
UUUCCGUAGGUGAACCUGCGGAAGGAUCAUUACUGAGUUAGGGUCUUUAUGGCCCGACCUCCAACCCUUUGUUUAAUCUACCAUGUUGCUUUGGCAGGCCCGCUUAGAAAUGGGCCGCCGGAGACCUUUGAAUCUCUGGUCAGUGCCUGCCAGUAGCCUUUCUAAAUUCGUUUAUAACCGUGUCUGAAUAUACAAAGAAAAAUUAAAAUAAAACUUUCAACAACGGAUCUCUUGGUUCUG